GACGAACGCUGGCGGCGUGCUUAACACAUGCAAGUCGAACGGAAAGGCCCUGCUUUUGUGGGGUGCUCGAGUGGCGAACGGGUGAGUAACACGUGAGUAACCUGCCCUUGACUUUGGGAUAACUUCAGGAAACUGGGGCUAAUACCGGAUCUGAGCUCCUGCUGCAUGGUGGGGGCUGGAAAGUUUCGGCGGUUGGGGAUGGACUCGCGGCUUAUCAGCUUGUUGGUGGGGUAGUGGCUUACCAAGGCUUUGACGGGUAGCCGGCCUGAGAGGGUGACCGGGCACAUUGGGACUGAGAGAGGGACCAGACGCGUACGGGAGGCAGCGGGGGGGAAUAUUGCACAAUGGGCGGAAGCGUGAUGCAGAAACGCCGCGUGCGGGAUGAGGGCCUGCGGGUUGUAAAACGCUUUCGCCUGUGACGAAGCGUGAGUGACGGUAAUGGGUAAAGAAGCACCGGCUAACUACGUG
rnacentral:rRNA from 1 species